rnacentral:rRNA from 1 species
AGGUCAAGUUACUAAGAGCGCAGGGCGAAUGCCUUGGCACCAAGAGGCGAAGAAGGACGUAGAAAGCUGCGAAAAGCUCCCUAGAUCUGCAAACAAGAACCGAAAGGGAGAUAUCCGAAUGGGGCAACCCACUUAAGCAAACCUUAAGUAUCUAUAUAUGAAUAAAAUAGUAUAUAGAGGCAAUACCGGGAGAACUGAAACAUCUAAGUACCCCGAGGAAAAGAAAGAAACAUCGAUUUUCAAAGUAGCGGCGAGCGAAAUGGAAAGAGCCCGCUUAAAGAAAUACUAAAACAAUAUCCGAAUGAUCUUGGAAAAAUCAUCCAAAGAAAGUGAAAGACUUGUAGGAAAAGAUAUUAGAAUUUCAAUAAGCUUCACGAGUACCACAAGGCACGAGAAACCUGGUGGGAACACGGGAGGACCACCUCCCAAGGCUAAAUACUACUUGGUGACCGAUAGAGAACAGUACCGUGAGGGAAAGGUAAAAAGAACCCCGAAAGGGGAGUGAAAUAGAACCUGAAACCCUGCGUUUACAAGCAAAGAAAGCACGUGAAAAGUGCAAUCUUGUACUUUUUGUAGAACGGGCCAGCGAGUUACUUUUGUAAGCAAGGUUAAGAAGUUAAGCUUCGAAGCCGAAGAGAAAUCAAGUCUUAAUAGGGCGGUUUAGUUUACAGGAGUAGACCCGAAACCAGGUGACCUAUCCAUGAGCAGAGUGAAGUUAAAGUAAAAUUUAAUGGAGGCUCGAACCGGGUGUGGUUUAAAACACAUCGGAUGACUUGUGGAUAGGGGUGAAAAGCCAAUCGAACCUGGAGAUAGCUGGUUCUCCUCGAAAUAGCUUUAGGGCUAGCCUUUAGGAUGUUUAAUGGAGGUAGAGCUACUGACUGGUUGCGGGGUGUUUAUACAUUACCAAAACCUAUCAAACUCCGAAUGCCAAGAAAACAAACCUAAGGAGUCAGACAUAGUGGGAUAAGCUUCUAUGUCAAAAGGGAAAGAGCCCAGACCAUCAGCUAAGGUCCCCAAAUACCGAUUAAGUGGUAAAGGAUGUGAAGUUACCCAAACAACUAGGAUGUUGGCUUAGAAGCAGCCAUACAUUUAAAGAGUGCGUAAUAGCUCACUAGUCGAGUGACCUUGCGCCGAAGAUUUCCGGGGCUAAAUCGGAUACCGAAGCUGUGGACUCGUAAGAGUGGUAGAGGAGCAUUGUGUAAUAGGCAGAAGCAGUAUCGAAAGGCGCUGUGGACGAAACACAAGAGAGAAUGCUGGCAUAAGUAGCGAGAAGGAGUGUGAGAAUCACUCCCGUCGAAAACCUAAGGGUUCCUGAGCAAGGCUCGUCCCCUCAGGGUAAGUCGGGACCUAAGGCGAGGCCGAAAGGAGUAGCCGAUGGACAACUAGUAAAAAUUCUAGUACUAUCAAAUAUCGUAUAAAUGAAGCGGGGACACAGAAGGAUAAGCUAAGCGUACCAGAUGGACGAGUACGCUCAAAUAAAAAGGCAUGCCAGGACUAAUAACCAGGCUAAGCUAAUUUAUGAUGAGGAUCGAAAACAAGUAGAGAAGUAGCCGAUUUCACACUGUCAAGAAAAGCCGCUAAAUAGAUAAAUGAUACCCGUACCGUAAACCGACACAGGUAGGAAAGGAGAGAAUCCUAAGACGCGCGGAAGAACCUUUGUUAAGGAACUCGGCAAAAUGACCCCGUAAGUUAGCGAGAAGGGGAGCCAGAGCGAUCUGGCCGCAGUGAAUAGGCCCAAGCGACUGUUUACCAAAAACACAAGUUUCUGCUAAGUCGAAAGACGACGUAUAGGAGCUGACACCUGCCCGGUGCUGGAAGGUUAAGGGGAAAUGUUAGCGUAAGCGAAGCAUAGAACUUAAGCCCCAGUAAACGGCGGCCGUAACUAUAACGGUCCUAAGGUAGCGAAAUUCCUUGUCGGGUAAGUUCCGACCCGCACGAAAGGUGUAACGAUUUGGGCACUGUCUCAACAAAGGAUCCGGUGAAAUUGAAGUAAUGGUAAAGAUGCCAUUUACCCGCGACAGGACGGAAAGACCCCAUGGAGCUUUACUGUAGGCUGACAUUGGAUUUCGGUAGUACAUGUACAGAAUAGGUGGGAGGCAUAGAUCCUGGUACGCCAGUAUCAGAGGAGCCGAAAAGUGGGAUACCACUCCUGUAGUGCUGGAAUUCUAACCUUGAGCCGUAAACCGGUUUAGGGACACUGUCAGUUGGGCAGUUUGACUGGGGCGGUCGCCUCCCAAACAGUAACGGAGGCGUUCAAAGGUUCCCUCAGCACGGACGGAAAUCGUGCAAAGAGUACAAAGGCAGAAGGGAGCUUAACUGCGAGAUAAACAGAUCGAGCAGAUGAGAAAUCAGGACUUAGUGAUCCGGUGGUACCACGUGGAAGGGCCAUCGCUCAACGGAUAAAAGCUACCCUGGGGAUAACAGGCUUAUCUCCCCCAAGAGUUCAUAUCGACGGGGAGGUUUGGCACCUCGAUGUCGGCUCGUCUCAUCCUGGGGCUGAAGUAGGUCCCAAGGGUUGGGCUGUUCGCCCAUUAAAGAGGCACGCGAGCUGGGUUCAGAACGUCGCGAGACAGUUCGGUCCCUAUCCGUCGUGGGCGUAGGAAAUUUGAAAGGAGCUGUCCUUAGUACGAGAGGACCGGGAUGGACAAACCAAUGGUUUAUGAGUUGUAACGCCAGUUGCAUAGCUCAGUAGCUACGUUUGGAAAGGAUAAGAGCUGAAAGCAUCUAAGCACGAAGCCCCCCUUAAGAUAAGAUUUCCUUUAAGUAAGACACCUUGAAGACCACAAGGUAGAUAGGCAGUAAGUGUAAGAGUAGUAAUACUUUGAGCCUAACUGUACUAAUAUGUCGAAAACUUGAUCAAAA